rnacentral:rRNA from 1 species
UUCGGAAUGAAGUUUUUGUGACUGAGUGGCGGACGGGUGAGUAACGCGUGGGUAACCUGCCUCAUACAGGGGGAUAACAGUUGGAAACGACUGCUAAUACCGCAUAAGCGCACAGGAUUGCAUGAUCCAGUGUGAAAAACUCCGGUGGUACAGGAUGGACCCGCGUCUGAUUAGCUGGUUGGUGAGGUAACGGCUCACCAAGGCGACGAUCAGUAGCCGGACUGAGAGGUUGAUCGGCCACAUUGGGACUGAGACACGGCCCAGACUCC